rnacentral:rRNA from 1 species
UUUUAUGACCAUACCACCCUGAAUGUGCCCGAUCUCGUCUGAUCUCAGAAGCUAAGCAGGGUCGGGCCUGGUUAGUACUUGAAUGAGAGAGUCCUGGGAUUGAAUACU